rnacentral:misc_RNA from 1 species
GAUGAAGAACGCAGUGAAAUGCGAUAAGUAGUGUGAAUUGCAGAAUUCAGUGAAUCAUCGAAUCUUUGAACGCACAUUGCGCCCUUUGGUAUUCCUUAGGGCAUGCCUGUUCGAGCGUCAUUUGAACCCUCAAGCUCAGCUUGGUGUUGGGUGUCUGUCCCCGCCUCCGCGGGGACUCGCCUCAAAAUCAUUGGCGGCCGGUACGUUGGCUUCGAGCGCGGCAGAAACGCGAACUCGAGGCCCGGCGGAUCGGCGACCAGAAGUCUCUUCUUCACAGUUUGACCUCGGAUCAGGUAGGGAUACCCGCUGAACUUAAGCAUAUCAAUAAGCGGAGGA